rnacentral:rRNA from 1 species
UACGUAGGGUGCAGGCGUUAAUCGGAAUUACUGGGCGUAAAGCGUGCGCAGGCGGUUUCUUAAGUCAGAUGUGAAAGCCCCGGGCUUAACCUGGGAACUGCGUUUGAAACUGGCAGGCUUGAAUCCGGGAGAGGGAUGUGGAAUUCCAGGUGUAGCGGUGAAAUGCGUAGAUAUCUGGAGGAACAUCGGUGGCGAAGGCGACAUCCUGGACCGGUAUUGACGCUGAGGCGCGAAAGCCAGGGGAGCAAACGGG